UUCCGUAGGGUGAACCUGCGGAGGGAUCAUUACCGAGUUAUACAACUCAUCAACCCUGUGAACAUACCUAAAACGUUGCCUCGGCGGGAACAGACGGCCCCGUAACACGGGCCGCCCCCGCCAGAGGACCCCCUAACUCUGUUUCUAUAAUGUUUCUUCUGAGUAAACAAGCAAAUAAAUUAAAACUUUCAACAACGGAUCUCUUGGCUCUGGCAUCGAUGAAGAACGCAGCGAAAUGCGAUAAGUAAUGUGAAUUGCAGAAUUCAGUGAAUCAUCGAAUCUUUGAACGCACAUUGCGCCCGCCAGUAUUCUGGCGGGCAUGCCUGUUCGAGCGUCAUUACAACCCUCAGGCCCCCGGGCCUGGCGUUGGGGAUCGGCGGAAGCCCCCUGCGGGCACAACGCCGUCCCCCAAAUACAGUGGCGGUCCCGCCGCAGCUUCCAUUGCGUAGUAGCUAACACCUCGCAACUGGAGAGCGGCGCGGCCACGCCGUAAAACACCCAACUUCUGAAUGUUGACCUCGAAUCAGGUUAGGAAUA
rnacentral:rRNA from 1 species